rnacentral:lncRNA from 1 species
AUGAGCUUUAUUAUUUUUUGGGGGGGGAAUAUGCAUAUACAUAUUCUCGUAUUACAUAAUUACGGUAGAGCAUUUUUUAAACUACUUUUCAACCAUUCCUUUGCUUUCAGCAUGGUUUCCAAACAUCAGCCUAUUACUUCCCGCAUGGUUGGCUGGGUUAAACUGUGCUGCUUCAGAUGGAAGAUGCUGGGCAGUCCUUUGUUCCUUACCCAAGCACAAUUAUCUUGUAGGAAGAAGAAAAUGGCUGUGACAGAACUGAAGGUAAAAUAUCUGAAGACCUCAGGACUCUUAAGCUUCAUGAAAGAUGAUGCUUCAGACCAUAUUCUUUUCAUGGGAUGAGCUGUUAAGAGGUUACUAGGUUUUGUGUUUUACAAGGGCCUAUAAGAUAAAUAAUAAACCCUAGCCUGCAACUAACCA